GGUCCUAUGAAUUAGAUGGCAAAUGCGCCUGGCUAGUAAGAAGGAGAUCACGAGUUCAAGUCUCGUUGGGACCU
rfam:Daphnia pulex DAPPTscaffold_242_Cont7715, whole genome shotgun sequence.